UUUCCGUAGGUGAACCUGCGGAAGGAUCAUUAAUGAAUUUUUGAAGGGGUUGUAGCUGGCCCGCGAGGGCAUGUGCACGCCCCGUUCAAUCCAUUCUACCCCUGUGAACCACACUGUAGGGAUCGAGGGCCGUGAGGCCUGCUUUCCCUAUGUCAUUUUACAAACUCUGUAGUGUCAGAAUGUCACCUGCGUAUAACGCAUCUUAUACAACUUUCAGCAACGGAUCUCUUGGCUCUCGCAUCGAUGAAGAACGCAGC
rnacentral:misc_RNA from 1 species